rnacentral:rRNA from 1 species
AACGAACGCUGGCGGCAUGCCUAACACAUGCAAGUCGAACGAGACCUUCGGGUCUAGUGGCGCACGGGUGCGUAACGCGUGGGAACCUGCCCUUAGGUUCGGAAUAACUCCCCGAAAGGGGUGCUAAUACCGGAUAAUGUCUUCGGACCAAAGAUUUAUCGCCUUUGGAUGGGCCCGCGUUGGAUUAGCUAGUUGGUAGGGUAAAAGCCUACCAAGGCGACGAUCCAUAGCUGGUCUGAGAGGAUGAUCAGCCACACUGGGACUGAGACACGGCCCAGACUCCUACGGGAGGCAGCAGUGGGGAAUAUUGGACAAUGGGCGGAAGCCUGAGCCAGCAAUGCCGCGUGAGUAAUGAAGGCCUUAGGGUUGUAAAGCUCUUUUACCCGGGAUGAUGAUGACAGUACCGGGAGAAUAAGCUCCGGCUAACUCCGUG